ACGAACGCUGGCGGCGUGCUUAACACAUGCAAGUCGAACGGAAAGGCCCUGCUUUUGUGGGGUGCUCGAGUGGCGAACGGGUGAGUAACACGUGAGUAACCUGCCCUUGACUUUGGGAUAACUUCAGGAAACUGGGGCUCAUACCGGAUAGGAGCUCCUGCUGCAUGGUGGGGGUUGGAAAGUUUCGGCGGCUGGGGAUGGACUCGCGGCUUAUCAGCUUGUUGGUGGGGUAGUGGCUUACCAAGGCUUUGACGGGUAGCCGGCCUGAGAGGGUGACCGGCCACAUUGGGACUGAGAGACGGCCCAGACUCCUACGGGAGGCAGCAGUGGGGAAUAUUGCACAAUGGGCGGAAGCCUGAUGCAGCAACGCCGCGUGCGGGAUGACGGCCUUCGGGUUGUAAACCGCUUUCGCCUGUGACGAAGCGUGAGUGACGGUAAUGGGUAAAGAAGCACCGGCUAACUACGUG
rnacentral:rRNA from 1 species